rnacentral:misc_RNA from 1 species
CACGUAGGGGCCGAGCGUUAUCCGGAAUUACUGGGCGUAAAGCGCACGCAGGCGGUCUGUCAAGUCGGAUGUUAAAUCCCCGGGCUCAACCUGGGAACUGCAUCCGAAACUGGCAGGCUAGAGUCUUGUAGAGGGGGGUAGAAUUCCAGGUGCAGCGGUGAAAUGCGUAGAGAUCUGGAGGAAUACCGGUGGCGAAGGCGGCCCCCUGGACAAAGACUGACGCUCAGGUGCGAAAGCGUGGGGAGCAAACAGG